rnacentral:rRNA from 1 species
CUACGGGUCGCAGCAGUGAGGAAUAUUGGACAAUGGGGGCAACCCUGAUCCAGCCAUGCCGCGUGAGUGAAGAAGGCCUUCGGGUUGUAAAGCUCUUUCAAUGGUGAAGAUAAUGACGGUAACCAUAGAAGAAGCCCCGGCUAAAUUCGUGCCAGCAGCCGCGGUAAUACGAAUGGGGCAAGCGUUGUUCGGAAUCACUGGGCUUAAAGCGUGCGUAGGCGGACAAGGAAGUCAGAAGUGAAAUCCCCGGGCUUAACCCGGGAACUGCUUUUGAAACUUCUUGUCUAGAAUCCGAUAGAGGUCAGGAGAAUUCCUAGUGUAGAGGUGAAAUUCGCAGAUAUUAGGAGGAAUACCAGUGGCGUAGGCGCCUGACUGGGUCGGUAUUGACGCUGAGGUACGAAAGCGUGGGGAGCAAACAGGAUUAGAUACCCGGGUAGUC